GAUGAACGCUAGCGGCAGGCUUAACACAUGCAAGUCGAGGGGCAGCGCGGGAUAGCAAUAUCCUGGCGGCGACCGGCGGAAGGGUGCGUAACGCGUGAGCGACAUGCCCGUUGCCCGGGGACAACCGGUGGAAACGCCGACUAAUCCCCGAUGGGAUGUUGUGCCGCAUGGCACGAUAUUGAAAGUUACGGCGGCGACGGGUUGGCUCGCGUCCGAUUAGCUUGUUGGCGGGGUAACGGCCCACCAAGGCUGCGAUCGGUAGGGGUUCUGAGAGGAAGGCCCCCCACAAUGGGACUGAGACACGGCCCAUACUCCUACGGGAGGCAGCAGUGAGGAAUAUUGGUCAAUGGGCGGAAGCCUGAACCAGCCAUGCCGCGUGCGGGAAGGAGGCCCUAUGGGCUGUGAACCGCUUUUGCCUGGGGGCAAUAGGGGCGUCGCGCACGUCCGAUGAGAGUACCAGGCGAAUAAGCAUCGGCUAACUCCGUG
rnacentral:rRNA from 1 species